UACAGAGGGUGCGAGCGUUGUUCGGAAUUAUUGGGCGUAAAGGGCGCGUAGGCGGUGCGGUAAGUCACCUGUGAAAUCUCCUGGCUCAACUGGGAGCUUGCAGGCGAAACUGCCGUGCUGGAGUGUGGGAGAGGUGCGUGGAAUUCCUGGUGUAGCGGUGAAAUGCGUAGAUAUCAGGAGGAACACCGGUGGCGAAGGCGGUUCUCUGGGCAUGAUCUGACGCUGAGGAGCGAAAGUGUGGGGAGCGAACAGG
rnacentral:rRNA from 1 species